GAUGAACGCUGGCGGCGCGCCUAACACAUGCAAGUCGAACGGUUAAAGCACCUUCGGGUGUGUAUAAAGUGGCGAACGGCUGAGUAACACGUGGGCAACCUGCCCCUUUCAUUGGGAUAGCCACGGGAAACCGUGGAUAAUACCGAAUACUUCGAGACUUCCGCAUGGAAGACUCGAGAAAGCUUCGGCGGAGAGGGAUGGGCCCGCGGCCUGUUAGCUUGUUGGUGGGGUAACGGCCUACCAAGGCAAUGAUGGGUAGCUGGGUUGAGAGACCGACCAGCCAGAUUGGGACUGAGACACGGCCCAGACUCCUACGGGAGGCAGCAGUGGGGAAUCUUGCACAAUGGGCGAAAGCCUGAUGCAGCGACGCCGCGUGCGGGAUGAAGGCCUUCGGGUUGUAAACCGCUUUCAGCAGGGACGAGGCGAAAGUGACGGUACCUGCAGAAGAAGCCCCGGCUAACUACGUG
rnacentral:rRNA from 1 species